GGAAGUUUAUAUCUUUUGACCGUCUUCACCCAUUUCAUCCAUCCCCCAUGACUACCACACCUCUGGCUACCACAAAUCUGUUUGCUGUGUCUGCCCUAACUUCCUCAGCCAUUCUGCAGGGCAAGACAGAGUUCACCAGCAAUUAGCGGCCCCACACAGAUGAGAGCCCAGCCCCUGGGAGGGGUUGUGUCCAGCAGGUACAUUGGAAGACUGAUUUCCAAGCCUUACCCUGCCCUUGUCUUCGUGUCCCUCUGGUCUUCUGAUGCCUGCAGGUCCUGGUCCUUUAUUUCCCUGGUGUUUAUUGGAUGUCUCCUGUGUGCCAGGCACUGUGUUAGUGGAGGACAUGGGGCCCCUGCUUUCUGGAACUCUUCUUCUGGGGUGGCAUCCAGACAGACAGAAGAAUGUGUCAGUUAAGACAUACUAGGAACCCCAAGGAUAAUUGGGUGACGGAUGGGACAGAGACUAGGAACCCCAAGGAUAAUUGGGUGACGGAUGGGACAGAGACAGAUGGGAAUGGUGACUUUGAUACAGAGCCACUGUCUCUGGUGCAGGGAGCCAGGGAGAGGUCCUAAGAGGGCCCCCCAGGAACUAUUGCCCCUGAGUGCAGGGACUGGGCUUCUUUGAGCAAAGCUGGAGGGCAGCUGGGGUGAGUGGAGGGUGGAGAAGUCAGAAGGACAGGUAGAGGCAGAUCACAUACCCUGGACACCAUGUAGGGAGCAUGGGUUUUAUUUUUUGAGUGAAAUAUUAAAGAAAGUAAAACAUCUGAAUGUUUUAUAUGGAUUACAUAUUGAAAUGAUACUAUGUUGGUUAUUUUAGGUUGAAAAAUAUAUUGUUCAAAUUAA